rnacentral:tRNA from 1 species
GGGCGUUUAGCUCAGUUGGUAGAGCAGCUGACUCUUAAUCAGCGGGUCACGGGUUCGAAUCCUGUAACGCCCA